rnacentral:rRNA from 1 species
CUACGGGUCGCUGCAGUGAGGAAUUUUGCGCAAUGGGGGAAACCCUGACGCAGCAACGCCGCGUGAGUGAUGAAGGCCCUCGGGUCGUAAAGCUCUGUCAAGUGGGAAGAACCUAUCGAUAUUGAACAGGUAUUGAUACUGACGGUACCACAAGAGGAAGCACCGGCUAACUCCGUGCCAGCAGCCGCGGUAAUACGGGGGGUGCAAGCGUUAUUCGGAAUCAUUGGGCGUAAAGGGCGCGCAGGCGGCCUUGUCAGUCAGAUGUGAAAGCCCGGGGCUCAACCCCGGAAGUGCAUUUGAAACUAUGAGGCUUGAGUAUGGGAGAGGGAAGUGGAAUUCCUGGUGUAGCGGUGAUAUGCGUAGAUAUCAGGAGGAACACCGGUGGCGAAGGCGACUUCCUGGACCAAUACUGACGCUGAGGCGCGAAGGCGUGGGGAGCAAACAGGAUUAGAUACCCGAGUAGUC